GAAGAUGACAACUUACUAGAAAUAAUCUUUAUAAGCUUGCAUUAUGUGUGAAAUUAUAUUUGGAUAAGCAUGGUGUCUAGGAUAGGCUAUAAUAACAGGCAUAUGAUGUUUUAUUUGACGUUCUUCUUUUUUGUAGCUGCUGCAAGUCAGACCGAGUUUCCCUGCACAUUUCCGUGUGAUUGGAUUAAUAAGACGUUCUCGAUGCAUUAUUACAGUCCUGUAGUAGGACAUGCACUAUUGACUACUUGGACUUUCAAUGCCGAUGGAACGACAGGGACAUUGUUUUCCAAGGAUAUAGUGUGUUAUCAAAUAUCGGAACAAUUCCUUGUCGUCAGGGUCGAUGAUGCACGACCAGACAUAUUUAAGUUUUGGUGUUUUCCAGUCUUUUACACUCUCGGAUCAUCAAAUUUUACAUUGCAUUAUAAAGAUCAAAGAUUUGUAUCCGACAAAAGCGUGGAAAGGGUUACUUUGAAACAAACAACAGCCUUAAAUGAAUCUCAGUUUUGCGAUAUCUGUGGACCAAGAAUGUUCGAUGAUCCUUUCACACUCUUAG